UUAAAUCAGUGUUGUAACAUUUAUUUAUUUGACAAAAACAAGAACGGUUACAAUGCUGAUUAAAACCAUACUCCUAGAGUGAAUCUGAUAGAACUAAGAACUUUAAUAUGCACCCAGUUUUCAUAAUCUUCACCCCAGUGUGAGCAGGGAUGUUGACAGGCUUUUGGUGAAGCUAAGAGGACAAGAAUCAAUCAAAUCAAAUUCAUUUAUAAAGCCCUUUUUACAACAGCAGUCACAAAGUGCUUUACAGAGACACCCGGCCUUAAACCCCAAGGAGUUAACAACAAUAGUGUUGAAUUUCAGUGGCUAGGAAAAACUCCCUAAGAAGGUCGAAUUUUAGGAAGAAACCUAGAGAGGACCCAUGCUCAGAGGGGUGACCAGUCCUCUUCUGGCUGUGCCGAAGAAACACAGAGAAAGAAAAAAGAGUCAUUAGGUAGAUCUGAUAUUAAUGUACCUGUCAAAAUCAAGGAACUCCUGGAAAAAACUAUGGAGCAAGAUAGCCUUAUACUUAUUGAUUCGAGUUCUAAAAUGUGUAUGCUGACAUGUACUUGCUUCAAAAUGACAACACGUCUUAUAAUAUGGAACAGAUGGCAAAAUAUAAUGUACAUUUCUUAAUGUAAUAAUAUACAGGUUAUUUUCUGUGAUAUUGAGAUACUUACCGGCCCUAAUGGCAUCCAGAUGGUUUUCCAACGUUGCCAAUGUUGGCGUUGCCUCCACCCCCAUGUAUGUUGCCAAUGUGACUUCCUCCACCUCCUGAUACAUUGCCAAUGUUCUCGUUGCCUCCACCACCGUGUACGUUGCCAAUGUGACUUCCUCCACCUCCUGAUGCAUUGCCAAUGUUCGCAUUGCCUCCACCUCCAUGUACGUUGCCAAUGGAACUACCUUUGUUUUUUUCCUCCACCUCCUGAUACAUUGCCAAUGCCCUUGUUGCCUCCACCUCCUGAUAUGUUGCCAAUGGAACUACCUUUGUUUUUGUCCUCACAGUGUGGUUUACAUCUAUCCAUUGCCGCUAUGAUAUAUAAACAGAGGGAGAGAGUGAAAUGAAUAUUUAAAUGGAAAUGUAAAACAGGUAAACUUCAUUAAAGUUUAUAUUAAAGAUUAUAUUAUUGUCCUCAUCCAAACUGUCCACAAAAUGCACAGGUCACAAUAUGUAAAGUUUAUAAGUGCAAUUUAACUCUGUCAGUCACCAACACCCAGGUGGCACUGUAAAAUAAUGUAUUAUUCCCUCUGUUAAUAAUGAAUUCAGAAUUAGAUUAUUAAUUUACUAAUUUAACUUCUGUUACCAUGAGGCCAAGAGUGAUAUGAAAAUGUAAUCCAGAAUGUAUGUAAAUAUUGUAUUUACCUGUGUCUGUGUUCUUCCUUGGUACAGUGGAGCUCUUGAAGGUAAUAGUGAACAGGUGUUGUAGUACAGAGUGGAGGGAUAGUUCUGCUUUUAUAGGAUAGAGACACGCUGGAUGAGAGAAAGGGAGGCUGGUUCUUGACUUAUUACAGUUAUUGAAAUCCAGGUCACUUCCAGAGAACUAAAGAGAGUAAAUAUUGUCGUUAUAGAGUUGGAUAAUUUCCAGAGUAUAUUACCAAAUUGUACCUGUUGUUGCCAAUCAAGUCUCCACCUGUAAUUUGAGCUCCUAUUGUGUUAAAUUGCUGUGAUUCAAAUGAUUUCAGCAUCAUUUCAGCAGUUUUUCUAAGUUGCCGUUAUUGGAUGGUGAACAUGCUGCCC
ensembl:lncRNA